GUUGCUCUUUAUUCAACAUUGUAUUGAAAAAAAAACCGCAACCGGAAACCAUCAUUUGGUAGACAAAAUAUGCAUUUCUUGUACUUAUUGUUGAAUUGAAAGGCUCAAAAAGCACAUUCCCUAAUAAUAUAAGCACUUGAACGAGAAACUAUACUUUUUAUGUUGCUUUGGAAUGCCAGUUUUCUUUAAGGGGGCUUAAUAGUUUAAGAACUAUUCAAUACCUGCUUUUACGUUUAUUUUAUUUAUAUAUUUCUGGUUAAAUACUAUUCAUAUGUUAAGAAAAACGCAAGUUGUUUAGAUUUCAAAUUUAAAUAUUUAUAUAAAAUAUUUUUCUAAUAUAUCGUUUUAAAGAGCUCUUUAUCUAAAGAAGAUUAAAAGAGUCAAUAAAAUGACCACAACUACUAAACACUCGUAUAAAGUAAUAAUACAUUUAGUUUCCAUUAUGAAUAUUUCUACAAGAUUUUACCUAACAUUUUUUUUAAUAAAAUUAAUUAUCUUUUCAUUUUAAAAACAGUUGUGUGUUUAUCAAUUACAUCUGAACUAAUAUUGACAUAAUUAUUAAAUCAUGUUUCAUCAU
rnacentral:misc_RNA from 1 species